rnacentral:rRNA from 1 species
AUGAACGCUAGCUACAGGCUUAACACAUGCAAGUCGAGGGGCAGCAUGGUCUUAGCUUGCUAAGACUGAUGGCGACCGGCGCACGGGUGAGUAACACGUAUCCAACCUGCCGUCUACUCUUGGACAGCCUUCUGAAAGGAAGAUUAAUACAAGAUGGCAUCAUGAGUCCGCAUGUUCACAUGAUUAAAGGUAUUCCGGUAGACGAUGGGGAUGCGUUCCAUUAGAUAGUAGGCGGGGUAACGGCCCACCUAGUCUUCGAUGGAUAGGGGUUCUGAGAGGAAGGUCCCCCACAUUGGAACUGAGACACGGUCCAAACUCCUACGGGAGGCAGCAGUGAGGAAUAUUGGUCAAUGGGCGAGAGCCUGAACCAGCCAAGUAGCGUGAAGGAUGACUGCCCUAUGGGUUGUAAACUUCUUUUAUAAAGGAAUAAAGUCGGGUAUGGAUACCCGUUUGCAUGUACUUUAUGAAUAAGGAUCGGCUAACUCCGUGCCAGCAGCCGCGGUAAUACGGAGGAUCCGAGCGUUAUCCGGAUUUAUUGGGUUUAAAGGGAGCGUAGAUGGAUGUUUAAGUCAGUUGUGAAAGUUUGCGGCUCAACCGUAAAAUUGCAGUUGAUACUGGAUAUCUUGAGUGCAGUUGAGGCAGGCGGAAUUCGUGGUGUAGCGGUGAAAUGCUUAGAUAUCACGAAGAACUCCGAUUGCGAAGGCAGCCUGCUAAGCUGCAACUGACAUUGAGGCUCGAAAGUGUGGGUAUCAAACAGGAUUAGAUACCCUGGUAGUCCACACGGUAAACGAUGAAUACUCGCUGUUUGCGAUAUACUGCAAGCGGCCAAGCGAAAGCGUUAAGUAUUCCACCUGGGGAGUACGCCGGCAACGGUGAAACUCAAAGGAAUUGACGGGGGCCCGCACAAGCGGAGGAACAUGUGGUUUAAUUCGAUGAUACGCGAGGAACCUUACCCGGGCUUAAAUUGCAGAUGAAUUACGGUGAAAGCCGUAAGCCGCAAGGCAUCUGUGAAGGUGCUGCAUGGUUGUCGUCAGCUCGUGCCGUGAGGUGUCGGCUUAAGUGCCAUAACGAGCGCAACCCUUGUUGUCAGUUACUAACAGGUUCCGCUGAGGACUCUGACAAGACUGCCAUCGUAAGAUGUGAGGAAGGUGGGGAUGACGUCAAAUCAGCACGGCCCUUACGUCCGGGGCUACACACGUGUUACAAUGGGGGGUACAGAGGGCCGCUACCACGCGAGUGGAUGCCAAUCCCAAAAACCUCUCUCAGUUCGGACUGGAGUCUGCAACCCGACUCCACGAAGCUGGAUUCGCUAGUAAUCGCGCAUCAGCCACGGCGCGGUGAAUACGUUCCCGGGCCUUGUACACACCGCCCGUCAAGCCAUGGGAGCCGGGGGUACCUGAAGUGCGUAACCGCGAGGAGCGCCCUAGGGUAAAACUGGUGACUGGGGCU